GCGAUCUACGUCGCGUCGCGCGCGAUAACCGUAAUUCGUAGGACUAAUACGUGCGAGCGCCGAGCGCGAGGCGACGGCGUUCUCGCCGGAUGUAGGAACCGACCCGGGGACCGCCGGGGCAACCCGGCGCCCCCGAGACGGGGCGAACCACGGUGAAAUGACGGAUCGUCGGCCCCGCGCCGGCGACUCGCCGAAUGAGUUUCUGACCUAUCAACUCGAGACGGCGGGGUAGAGGCCCGCCGCGGUAACGACGGGUAACGGGGAAUCAGGGUUCGAUUCCGGAGAGGGAGCCCGAGAAACGGCUACCACUUCCAAGGAAGGCAGCAGGCGCGCAACUUACCCUAAUCUCGAUUCGAGGAGGUAGUGACAAGAAAUACCGAUGCGGGACCCUACGGGUGCCGCGUUCGGAAUGAGUACGAUUCGAACCACCUAACGAGGAACGAUCGGAGGGCAAGUCUGGUGCCAGCAGCCGCGGUAAUUCCAGC
rnacentral:rRNA from 1 species